rnacentral:rRNA from 1 species
UACGUAGGUGGCAAGCGUUGUCCGGAAUUACUGGGUGUAAAGGGCGUGUAGGUGGGAGAUUAAGUCAGAUGUGAAAGCCCGCAGCUUAACUGCGGUACUGCAUCUGAAACUAGUCUUCUUGAGUGCUGGAGAGGAAAGCGGAAUUCCAGGUGUAGCGGUGAAAUGCGUAGAUAUCUGGAGGAAUACCGGUGGCGAAGGCGGCAUCCUGGACCAUUACUGACACUGAACCGCGAAAGCUAGGGGAGCAAACGGG